UACGUAGGUGGCAAGCGUUAUCCGGAAUUAUUGGGCGUAAAGCGCGCGCAGGUGGUUUCUUAAGUCUGAUGUGAAAGCCCACGGCUCAACCGUGGAGGGUCAUUGGAAACUGGGAGACUUGAGUGCAGAAGAGGAAAGUGGAAUUCCAUGUGUAGCGGUGAAAUGCGUAGAUAUCUGGAGGAACACCGGUGGCGAAGGCGGCGUUCUGGACUGCAACUGACACUGAGGAACGAAAGCCAGGGGAGCAAACGGG
rnacentral:rRNA from 1 species